AGUGAACGCUGGCGGCGUGCUUAACACAUGCAAGUCGUACGAGAACGCUUCUGCUUGCAGAAGCUAGUAAAGUGGCGCACGGGUGAGUAACGCGUGGGUAAUCUACCUUCGAAUUGGGGAUAACAUUGCGAAAGCGAUGCUAAUACCGGAUAAUAUCUUUUGGCCUACGGUCCGAAAGAUCAAAGAUGGCCUCUUCUUGAAAGCUAUUGUUUGGAGAUGAGCUCGCGUACCAUUAGCUUGUUGGUGGGGUAACGGCCUACCAAGGCUGCGAUGGUUAGCUGGUCUGAGAGGAUGAUCAGCCACACUGGAACUGACACACGGUCCAG
rnacentral:rRNA from 1 species